rnacentral:rRNA from 1 species
GACGAACGCUGGCGGCGUGCUUAACACAUGCAAGUCGAACGGAAAGGCCUUUUCGGAGGUACUCGAGUGCGAACGGGUGAGUAACACGUGGGUGAUCUGCCCUGCACUCUGGGAUAAGCCUGGGAAACUGGGUCUAAUACCGGAUAGGACCGCACUUUAGUGUGUGUGGUGGAAAGUUUUUUCGGUGUAGGAUGAGCCCGCGGCCUAUCAGCUUGUUGGUGGGGUAAUGGCCUACCAAGGCGGCGACGGGUAGCCGGACUGAGAGGUUGGUCGGCCACAUUGGGACUGAGAUACGGCCCAGACUCCUACGGGAGGCAGCAGUGGGGAAUAUUGCACAAUGGGCGCAAGCCUGAUGCAGCGACGCCGCGUGGGGGAUGACGGCCUUCGGGUUGUAAACUCCGUUCGCCAGGGACGAAGCGUUUUGUGACGGUACCUGGAGAAGAAGCACCGGCUAACUACGUG